UUUGCAGAUCUGGACAACAACUCAUCUGGGAAAAAAACUAUACGUAAAACCUUCAAACGCAAAAAAGUCGUGAAAUAAGAUAUGACCAGAAUGGUGAAAUACAUCUACGGUUGAAAAAUCACGGUAUUUCGGUAAAGUCUCGGUGCCGAUAGUUGCGGUUAACGCAAUUUACCCUUAUUAUUCACUAUGCUGCAGAUUUGGCGUUUGGUGUCCGAUUGACUAUUGUGAUACCUUUCUGGAAGUGUAACGGCCCUACGAGUCAAACUCAUUGCUAAUGCCAUGACAUACAAGCCUUUUUGGCCAUCCGAGUCCGUUUAGGGCUUCAAAAUGCAGUUUUCUUAUUUCCGAUUAGAGUUAACCGUUUCGAUCAAGCCCUUAACGUUGUCGAAUCUAGUUGAAUUUUUUACCACAGACAUCUUUCGUCAUAAUGAUCAUAUCUGACGGUCGAAUUUUGGUUUGUGAAUUUUAGUCAUCGGAAUCACAACGUGUCUACUAUUUACCGUUAUUAUUCCCUAUGGGGAGCCCUAUCGUCAGAAGGUAAAUGUCUCAAAAUUUUUAUAUGGGCAGUUGCGUCUCAUCUACGUGAGAGUUUUUCGUGCGGAAGGUUUGACCAAACUACGUAAUAUAGAGGGAGAUAUGAGCGUUUUAGUGUGAUAAGUGACGAUUGAUUAGGGUUGACCGUUUCGAUCGAGCCCUUUAUGUUGUCGGAUCCAGUUGAAUUUUUUACCAUAGACAUCUUUCGUCAUAAUGAUUAUAUCUGACGGUCAAAUUUUGGUUUGUGAAUUUUAGUCAUCGGAAUCACAACGUGUCUACUAAUGUUGUAUAACUUGUUUAGUAGGUUAUACCACUUUGUGAACCAACUCUACAUAGGAUGCAAAAUUAUCAAAAAUCUCGUGAAAUAAGAUUUGUUCAGAAUGGUGAAAUACGGCUAUGGUUCAAAAAUCAUGUAAAUUGGGUAACGUCUCGGUGCGGAUAGUAGCGGUCAACCCUAUUUACAGUUAUUAUUCCCUAUGGGCAGCCCUAUCUUCGGAAGGUAAAUGUCUCAAAAUUUUUAUAUAGGCGGUUGCGUCUCAUCUACGUGAAAGUUUUUCGUGUGGAAGGUUUGACCAAACUACGUAAUAUAGAAGGAGAUAUGAGCGUUUUCGUGAAUUUACAGACUUUAGCCGACGAGAUAUUAAAAAAGUCGUUGGCUAAAGUCAAAAAAUUUUCAAAAUUUUCAACCAAAAUUUUUUGGCGGUCAACCAAAAUUUUCAAAAGAGUUUAGCCGACGAAAAUAAAUAAUUUCGUCGAGUAAAGUUCUUUAUAUAGGAGUUUUACUGGAGGUGGAUGGUAAGAAGUGAGAAAAUCAGAAAAAGUUCCGGAUUUUCUUCUCGGCCUAGCUCCGCCGUCAAGCCACCGGAGACCGCCACACUUGUCCCAAAAGCUUCGCCGUCGUCUCUACUUCAUUGCUGGACGGGUGGUGCAUCGAGUGGCGCCGCCGUGAGGGAUAAAUCGAGCUCCAAAACUUCGCCGGUUCGGAUUCGGUGUCGAUCGAAUUUCUCCUUCCUCAGGUCACCAUUUGGUGAGUUCUGUAUAUGGAUAAGUUGAGUUUGAAUAGUACUACAUUCCUUUAGAAUUUGGUAGCUCGAUUAGGUGUGUGUGAGGAGAAUCCAAGAUUUGAAGUUUUUAGGGUUUAAAAUUGGGGAUUUUUAUAUUUUGAUUCAAUUGACCUGUUUAGGCUUAGAAUUGAGCUUCGACUUCUUCUAGAAAGUUGUUCGAAAUGUUGAGAGGAAGAUUCUGUCAAAUUUUUGUGGUGAUUGGAGGUGGCUGAAAGUUUCUGCAGUUUUUUUUUUCAAACACCAGCAACUUUAGCCGACGAUAUUUAAAGGUUUAGCCGACGAUAUUUAAAGAUUUAUUCGUCAGCUAUAUUAUUUUUAAAUUCUUUUAUAAGGUUUAGCCGACGAAUUAUGACAUAUUUCGUCGGCUAUA
rnacentral:lncRNA from 1 species